GUGACCUCAAAUCAGGUAGGACUACCYGCUGAACUUAAGCAUAUCAAUAAGCGGAGGAAAAGAAACUAACAAGGAUUCCCCUAGUAACUGCGAGUGAAGCGGGAAAAGCUCAAAUUUAAAAUCUGGCAGUCUUUGGCUGUCCGAGUUGUAAUCUAGAGAAGUGUUAUCCGCGCUGGACCGUGUACAAGUCUCCUGGAAUGGAGCAUCAUAGAGGGUGAGAAUCCCGUCUUUGACAUGGACUGCCAGGGCUUUGUGAUGCGCUCUCAAAGAGUCGAGUUGUUUGGGAAUGCAGCUCAAAAUGGGUGGUAAAUUCCAUCUAAAGCUAAAUAUUGGCGAGAGACCGAUAGCGAACAAGUACCGUGAGGGAAAGAUGAAAAGAACUUUGGAAAGAGAGUUAAACAGUACGUGAAAUUGCUGAAAGGGAAACGCUUGAAGUCAGUCGCGUCGUCCAGGGAUCAACCUUGCUUUUGCUUGGUGCACUUUCUGGUUCGAUGGGUCAGCAUCAAUUUUGACUGUUGGAAAAAGGUCAAGGGAAUGUGGCAUCUUUGGAUGUGUUAUAGCCCUUGGUCACAUACAAUGGUUGGGAUUGAGGAACUCAGCACGCCGCAAGGCCGGGUUUUAACUUUUAAACCACGUACGUGCUUAGGAUGCUGGCAAUAUGGCUUUAAUCGACCCGUC
rnacentral:rRNA from 1 species